GCAAGUCGAACGAGAAAGCUCUCUUCGGAGAGUGAGUAGCGUGGCGCACGGGAGAGUAACGCGUGGAUUUUCUACCUUGGAGAUCGGGAUAACAGUUGGAAACGGCUGCUAAUACCGUAUACGUUGCAAUUUUAACGAUUGUGAGAAAGAUGGCCUCUACAUGUAAGCUAUCACUCUGAGAUGAGUCCGCGUUCCAUUAGCUUGUUGGUGGGGUAAUGGCCUACCAAGGCUGCGAUGGAUAGCUGGUCUGAGAGGAUGAAC
rnacentral:rRNA from 1 species